GGCGGCGGCGGCGGAGAGAGCUGGCUCAGGGCGUCCGCUAGGCUCGGACGACCUGCUGAGCCUCCCAAACCGCUUCCAUAAGGCUUUGCCUUUCCAACUUCAGCUACAGUGUUAGCUAAGUUUGGAAAGAAGGAAAAAAGAAAAUCCCUGGGCCCCUUUUCUUUUGUUCUUUGCCAAAGUCGUCGUUGUAGUCUUUUUGCCCAAGGCUGUUGUGUUUUUAGAGGUGCUAUCUCCAGUUCCUUGCACUCCUGUUAACAAGCACCUCAGCGAGAGCAGCAGCAGCGAUAGCAGCCGCAGAAGAGCCAGCGGGGUCGCCUAGUGUCAUGACCAGGGCGGGAGAUCACAACCGCCAGAGAGGAUGCUGUGGAUCCUUGGCCGACUACCUGACCUCUGCAAAAUUCCUUCUCUACCUUGGUCAUUCUCUCUCUACUUGGGUUAGGAGGUCAGAUUUGCCAGAAAACCAGUGGCACCGUGGUUGUUCCAGGAGGAUAUUUUGUCAUGUUCAUUAAAAGUCCCACAAGAAAGGUGACACAUGCUUAUCCCAACUUUACAGGAGAUCGGAUGUGGCACUUUGCGGUGUCUGUGUUUCUGGUAGAGCUCUAUGGAAACAGCCUCCUUUUGACAGCAGUCUACGGGCUGGUGGUGGCAGGGUCUGUUCUGGUCCUGGGAGCCAUCAUCGGUGACUGGGUGGACAAGAAUGCUAGACUUAAAG
rnacentral:lncRNA from 1 species